rnacentral:rRNA from 1 species
CCUACGGGAGGCAGCAGUGGGGAAUAUUGCGCAAUGGGCGAAAGCCUGGCGCAGCGACGCCGCGUGAGGGAUGAAGGUCUUCGGAAUGUAAACCUCUGUCAGCAGGGAAGAACAGUCCCUGUGCUAAUCAGCAGUGAAUUGAUGGUAACUGCACAGGAAGCACCGGCUAACUCCGUGCCAGCAGCCGCGGGAAUUCGGAGGGUGCGAGCGUUAAUCGGAAUUACUGGGCGAAAAGCGCUCGUAGGCGGUUUUUCAAGUCAAGGGUGAAAUCCCCGCGCUCAACGUGGGAACUGCCUUUGAAACUGGAAGACUUGAGUGCGGGAGAGGAUAGUGGAAUUCCAGGUGUAGCAGUGAAAGCCGUAGAUAUCAGGAGGAACAGCAGUGGCGAAGGCGACUAUCUGGCACGUAACUGACGCUGAGGCGCGAAAGCGUGGGUAGCAAACAGGAUUAGAUACCCGAGUAGUC